rnacentral:lncRNA from 1 species
GGGAUAUGGUAGUUGGACAUUGUCCCUUGUUGCCUUUUUCAUCCUGUUUCGAAUGAGAUGCCCUGAUGGGUGUCGCGGCCCAUACAAAUUUAAUUGCAUAUUAGAAAUGCAGUAUAGCUAGGAAUGACUCCUAGGUCGUCUCUCAAGGACCAAACUGUGGUUCGAGUCUCAGGUCAAACACGAAGUGGGGGGGGGAGUUUGUGAAAAGUUUGUGAAUGCGGACGAAUUAAAUCAAAGGACGGAUGCAAACAGAAAUGUAAAAAUAGAAUUGCAAAACGAAAUCACAUACAGAAUAAAAAUGGUUGGUCAUUAACUUAAUUACAAUGUUUCCUAUCACAAAUCAACAAAAUAAAGUUGUGACUCAAACCUCUAAUCCAACAAAGUUAACCAACUAAGCGAAGGUUAACCCUGUUUUCAUAAAAGCGAACUAAGCGAAC